UGAUCUGCGGUGCCAGUUUGUCUUUUCAGAAUAAUAUGUUUAUAAAAGCUUCUGGUUCUUAAUUUUUGUACUGGUUUUAUAUAAUAAUCGCGGCUAUAUAAUAAACUGGCUCUUUAACAAAAGAUCACAAAGAGCAAAAUGAACGAAAAUGGAACCGUCUGAUUCCACCUUUAUGGCGACUGGUCGACCGCGCGGAUUACCUUGAUCCAGUAAAGUGACACAAGAAUUACAAGUGACAUGUAUAAAUAAAUACGAUUGUUGAACAAAUAAAUCUGUGAUCGAUC